GGAGACGUGGCUGAGUGGUCGAAAGCGCUCCCCUGCUAAGGGAGUAUACUGGCAACGGUAUCGAGGGUUCGAAUCCCUUCGUCUCCGCCA
rnacentral:tRNA from 4 species